AGAGUUUGAUCAUGGCUCAGGACGAACGCUGGCGGCGCGCCUAAAACAUGCAAGUCGAGCGAGAACCGUGGCUUCGGCUGCGGGGACAGCGGCGAACGGGUGCGUAACACGUGAGCAACCUGCCCCGAAGACCGGGACAAGCCGGGGAAACCUGGUCUAAUACCGGAUGCCCUCACCGGAUCGCAUGAUCUGGCGAGGAAAUGGAUUCCGCUUCGGGAUGGGCUCGCGGUCUAUCAGCUUGUUGGUGGGGUAACGGCCUACCAAGGCGACGACGGAUAGCUGGUCUGAGAGGACGAUCAGCCACACUGGGACUGAGACACGGCCCAGACUCCUACGGGAGGCAGCAGUUAGGAAUCUUGCGCAAUGGGGGAAACCCUGACGCAGCGACGCCGCGUGCGGGAUGAAGGCCCUCGGGUUGUAAACCGCUUUCAGCAGGGACGAAAUUGACGGUACCUGCAGAAGAAGGCCCGGCCAACUACGUGCCAGCAGCCGCGGUA
rnacentral:rRNA from 1 species